rnacentral:misc_RNA from 1 species
UCCGGUUUGUCACCGGCAGUCUCCUUAGAGUUCCCGCCAUUACGCGCUGGCAACUAAGGACGAGGGUUGCGCUCGUUACGGGACUUAACCCAACAUCUUACGACACGAACUGAAGGAUCUCAUCUCUGAGAUCCGCGACCCCCAUGUCAAGGGCUGGUAAGGUUCUUCGCGUUGCGUCGAAUUAAACCACAUGCUCCACCGCUUGUGCGGGCCCCCGUCAAUUCCUUUGAGUUUUAGCCUUGCGGCCGUACUCCCCAGGCGGAGUGCUUAACACGUUAGCUGUGACACUGAAGAACUAUGUUCCCCAACAUCUAGCACUCAUCGUUUACGGCGUGGACUAC